rfam:Cajanus cajan CcLG06_390, whole genome shotgun sequence.
AGCCGUGUGAUAGAAACAAAGCGAACUAUUCUUUCGCCUUUUACUAAAGAAUACCGUGUUUCUGUUACUCAAAGCGGCAUAUGUCAAUUUUUGAAAGAGUCUUCUUUUAGGAGGCU